rnacentral:rRNA from 1 species
AGUGAACGCUGGCGGUAGGCCUAACACAUGCAAGUCGAACGGCAGCACAGUAAGAUCUUGCUCUUACGGGUGGCGAGUGGCGGACGGGUGAGGAAUACAUCGGAAUCUACUUUUUCGUGGGGGAUAACGUAGGGAAACUUACGCUAAUACCGCAUACGACCUACGGGUGAAAGCAGUGGAUCUUCGGACCUUGCGCGAUUGAAUGAGCCGAUGUCGGAUUAGCUAGUUGGCGGGGUAAAGACCCACCAAGGCGACGAUCCGUAGCUGGUCUGAGAGGCUGGUCGGCCACACUGGAACUGAGACACGGUCCAGACUCCUACGGGAGGCAGCAGUGGGGAAUAUUGGACAAUGGGCGCGAGCCUGAUCCAGCCAUCCCGAGUGGGAGGAGAAGGCCUUCGGGUUGUAAAGCCCUUUUGUUGGGAAAGAAAAGCAGCAGGUUAAUACCCCGCUGUUCUGACGGUACCCAAAGAAUAAGCACCGGCUAACUUCGUG